UUAAGCGACUAAGCGUACACGGUGGAUGCCCUGGCAGUCAGAGGCGAUGAAGGACGUGCUAAUCUGCGAUAAGCGUCGGUAAGGUGAUAUGAACCGUUAUAACCGGCGAUUUCCGAAUGGGGAAACCCAGUGUGAUUCGUCACACUAUCAUUAACUGAAUUCAUAGGUUAAUGAGGCGAACCGGGGGAACUGAAACAUCUAAGUACCCCGAGGAAAAGAAAUCAACCGAGAUUCCCCCAGUAGCGGCGAGCGAACGGGGAGGAGCCCAGAGCCUGAAUCAGUGUGUGUGUUAGUGGAAGCGUCUGGAAAGGCGCGCGAUACAGGGUGACAGCCCCGUACACAAAAAUGCACAUGCUGUGAGCUCGAUGAGUAGGGCGGGACACGUGGUAUCCUGUCUGAAUAUGGGGGGACCAUCCUCCAAGGCUAAAUACUCCUGACUGACCGAUAGUGAACCAGUACCGUGAGGGAAAGGCGAAAAGAACCCCGGCGAGGGGAGUGAAAAAGAACCUGAAACCGUGUACGUACAAGCAGUGGGAGCCUCUUUAUGGGGUGACUGCGUACCUUUUGUAUAAUGGGUCAGCGACUUAUAUUCUGUAGCAAGGUUAACCGAAUAGGGGAGCCGAAGGGAAACCGAGUCUUAACUGGGCGUUAAGUUGCAGGGUAUAGACCCGAAACCCGGUGAUCUAGCCAUGGGCAGGUUGAAGGUUGGGUAACACUAACUGGAGGACCGAACCGACUAAUGUUGAAAAAUUAGCGGAUGACUUGUGGCUGGGGGUGAAAGGCCAAUCAAACCGGGAGAUAGCUGGUUCUCCCCGAAAGCUAUUUAGGUAGCGCCUCGUGAAUUCAUCUCCGGGGGUAGAGCACUGUUUCGGCAAGGGGGUCAUCCCGACUUACCAACCCGAUGCAAACUGCGAAUACCGGAGAAUGUUAUCACGGGAGACACACGGCGGGUGCUAACGUCCGUCGUGAAGAGGGAAACAACCCAGACCGCCAGCUAAGGUCCCAAAGUCAUGGUUAAGUGGGAAACGAUGUGGGAAGGCCCAGACAGCCAGGAUGUUGGCUUAGAAGCAGCCAUCAUUUAAAGAAAGCGUAAUAGCUCACUGGUCGAGUCGGCCUGCGCGGAAGAUGUAACGGGGCUAAACCAUGCACCGAAGCUGCGGCAGCGACGCUUAUGCGUUGUUGGGUAGGGGAGCGUUCUGUAAGCCUGCGAAGGUGUACUGUGAGGUAUGCUGGAGGUAUCAGAAGUGCGAAUGCUGACAUAAGUAACGAUAAAGCGGGUGAAAAGCCCGCUCGCCGGAAGACCAAGGGUUCCUGUCCAACGUUAAUCGGGGCAGGGUGAGUCGACCCCUAAGGCGAGGCCGAAAGGCGUAGUCGAUGGGAAACAGGUUAAUAUUCCUGUACUUGGUGUUACUGCGAAGGGGGGACGGAGAAGGCUAUGUUGGCCGGGCGACGGUUGUCCCGGUUUAAGCGUGUAGGCUGGUUUUCCAGGCAAAUCCGGAAAAUCAAGGCUGAGGCGUGAUGACGAGGCACUACGGUGCUGAAGCAACAAAUGCCCUGCUUCCAGGAAAAGCCUCUAAGCAUCAGGUAACAUCAAAUCGUACCCCAAACCGACACAGGUGGUCAGGUAGAGAAUACCAAGGCGCUUGAGAGAACUCGGGUGAAGGAACUAGGCAAAAUGGUGCCGUAACUUCGGGAGAAGGCACGCUGAUACGUAGGUGAAGUCCCUUGCGGAUGGAGCUGAAAUCAGUCGAAGAUACCAGCUGGCUGCAACUGUUUAUUAAAAACACAGCACUGUGCAAACACGAAAGUGGACGUAUACGGUGUGACGCCUGCCCGGUGCCGGAAGGUUAAUUGAUGGGGUUAGCGGUAACGCGAAGCUCUUGAUCGAAGCCCCGGUAAACGGCGGCCGUAACUAUAACGGUCCUAAGGUAGCGAAAUUCCUUGUCGGGUAAGUUCCGACCUGCACGAAUGGCGUAAUGAUGGCCAGGCUGUCUCCACCCGAGACUCAGUGAAAUUGAACUCGCUGUGAAGAUGCAGUGUACCCGCGGCAAGACGGAAAGACCCCGUGAACCUUUACUAUAGCUUGACACUGAACAUUGAGCCUUGAUGUGUAGGAUAGGUGGGAGGCUUUGAAGUGUGGACGCCAGUCUGCAUGGAGCCGACCUUGAAAUACCACCCUUUAAUGUUUGAUGUUCUAACGUUGGCCCCUAAUCGGGGUUGCGGACAGUGUCUGGUGGGUAGUUUGACUGGGGCGGUCUCCUCCUAAAGAGUAACGGAGGAGCACGAAGGUUGGCUAAUCCUGGUCGGACAUCAGGAGGUUAGUGCAAUGGCAUAAGCCAGCUUGACUGCGAGCGUGACGGCGCGAGCAGGUGCGAAAGCAGGUCAUAGUGAUCCGGUGGUUCUGAAUGGAAGGGCCAUCGCUCAACGGAUAAAAGGUACUCCGGGGAUAACAGGCUGAUACCGCCCAAGAGUUCAUAUCGACGGCGGUGUUUGGCACCUCGAUGUCGGCUCAUCACAUCCUGGGGCUGAAGUAGGUCCCAAGGGUAUGGCUGUUCGCCAUUUAAAGUGGUACGCGAGCUGGGUUUAGAACGUCGUGAGACAGUUCGGUCCCUAUCUGCCGUGGGCGCUGGAGAACUGAGGGGGGCUGCUCCUAGUACGAGAGGACCGGAGUGGACGCAUCACUGGUGUUCGGGUUGUCAUGCCAAUGGCACUGCCCGGUAGCUAAAUGCGGAAGAGAUAAGUGCUGAAAGCAUCUAAGCACGAAACUUGCCCCGAGAUGAGUUCUCCCUGACUCCUUGAGAGUCCUGAAGGAACGUUGAAGACGACGACGUUGAUAGGCCGGGUGUGUAAGCGCAGCGAUGCGUUGAGCUAACCGGUACUAAUGAACCGUGAGGCUUAACCUU
rnacentral:rRNA from 1 species